rnacentral:rRNA from 1 species
AUACGUAGGGGGCGAGCGUUGUCCGGAAUGACUGGGCGUAAAGGGCGUGUAGGCGGCUGUCUAAGUCUGGAGUGAAAGUCCUGCUUUCAAGGUGGGAAUUGCUUUGGAGACUGGAUGGCUUGAGUGCGGAAGAGGUAAGUGGAAUUCCCAGUGUAGCGGUGAAAUGCGUAGAGAUUGGGAGGAACACCAGUGGCGAAGGCGACUUACUGGGCCGUAACUGACGCUGAGGCGCGAAAGCGUGGGGAGCAAACAGGAUUAGAUACCCUGGUAGUCCACGCCCUAAACGAUGAAUACUAGGUGUGGGGGGACUGACCCCCUCCGUGCCGGAGUAAACACAAUAAGUAUUCCACCUGGGGAGUACGACCGCAAGGUUGAAACUCAAAGGAAUUGACGGGG